rnacentral:rRNA from 1 species
UUUCUGCUAAUACCACAUAAGCUGGAAGAGAUUGAAAGCAUUCCAGGAAAGAUGGCGAUCCGCAAGGAGCUAUCGCUAGAGGAGGGGGCUGCGGACCAUUAGCUAGUUGGUGAGGUAACGGCCCACCAAGGCGAUGAUGGAUAGCCGGUCUGAGAGGAUGGUCGGCCACACUGGAACUGAGACACGGUCCAGACUCCUACGGGAGGCAGCAGUAGGGAAUCUUG